rnacentral:tRNA from 1 species
GCAGUUGUGCCUCAGUGGUAGAGUGCUUGCCUAGCAUGCAUGAAGACCUGGGUUCAAUCCUCAGCACCUCA